rnacentral:sRNA from 1 species
AGGUCCUGGAAAUUCCAGAAUAUGCUGGAAUUCGUGAUGGAACUGGAGACUGGCAAGCAGCAAGGCAGACCUCAGGAUCACUGGAAGUAGGUCGAAGACCCACCAGCUAAGAUAUCAUGUUCAAAUUGCCUGCGCCUCUCUCCGUGGCAUCCACGACAGUGCCUGGAACACAGUAGCGUAAUGACUAAGGGACCUCAGAAGAGGCUUAGCCUGGGGCCCAUUUCUGUUCCACCGGUCUCAACAGAAGCCAGAAGACCUCUUCCCUUCCAUGCUGUCUCUCCCGCCUACAGAUUCUACCUCCUAAGGCUUCACAACUACACUCUGGAGACGACUCUUGUUAGGAGAGAGGACAUGGGCUCAGGCUUGUCACAUCCCCAGAGCACCUAGCCCACAGAAUGCUGAAAUCAUGAUGUUUUUGGAGUGGAGUGGAGGA